rnacentral:rRNA from 1 species
AGAGUUUGAUCAUGGCUCAGAUUGAACGCUGGCGGCAUGCUUUACACAUGCAAGUCGAACGGCAGCACAGGGAGCUUGCUCCCGGGUGGCGAGUGGCGCACGGGUGAGUAAUACAUCGGAACGUGUCCUGUUGUGGGGGAUAACUGCUCGAAAGGGUGGCUAAUACCGCAUGAGACCUGAGGGUGAAAGCGGGGGAUCGCAAGACCUCGCGCAAUUGGAGCGGCCGAUGCCCGAUUAGCUAGUUGGUGAGGUAAAGGCUCACCAAGGCGACGAUCGGUAGCUGGUCUGAGAGGACGACCAGCCACACUGGGACUGACGACACGGCCAGACUCCGUACGGGAGCA